GGAUGAACGCUGGCGGCGUGCUUAACACAUGCAAGUCGAACGAACCUUCGGGUUAGUGGCGGACGGGUGAGUAACGCGUGAGAAUCUGCCCUCAGGAGGGGGAUAACGGCUGGAAACGGCCGCUAAUACCCCAUAUGCCGCGAGGUGAAAUGAAUUUCGCCUGAGGAUGAGCUCGCGUCUGAUUAGCUAGUUGGUGUAGGUAAUGGCUCACCAAGGCGUCGAUCAGUAGCUGGUCUGAGAGGAUGAUCAGCCACACUGGGACUGAGACACGGCCCAGACUCCUACGGGAGGCAGCAGUGGGGAAUUUUCCGCAAUGGGCGAAAGCCUGACGGAGCAACGCCGCGUGAGGGAUGAAGGCCUCUGGGCUGUAAACCUCUUUUCUCAAGGAAGAAGAUCUGACGGUACCUGAGGAAUAAGCCACGGCUAAUUCCGUGCCAGCAGCCGCGGUAAUACGAGAGUGGCAAGCGUUAUCCCGGAAUUAUUGGGCGUAAAGCGUCCGCAGGCGGCCCUUCAAGUCUGCUGUUAAACGUGGAGCUUAACUCCAUCAUGGCAGUGGAAACUGUUGGGCUUGAGUGUGGUAGGGCAGAGGGAAUUCCGUGUAGCGGUGAAAUGCGUAGAUAUCGGGAAGAACACCAGUGGCGAAGGCGCUCUGCUGGGCCAUAACUGACGCUCAUGGACGAAAGCCAGGGGAGCGAAAGGGAUUAGAUACCCCUGUAGUCCUGGCCGUAAACGAUGAACACUAGGUGUCGGGGGAAUCGACCCCCUCGGUGUCGUAGCCAACGCGUUAAGUGUUCCGCCUGGGGAGUACGCACGCAAGUGUGAAACUCAAAGGAAUUGACGGGGGCCCGCACAAGCGGUGGAGUAUGUGGUUUAAUUCGAUGCAACGCGAAGAACCUUACCAGGGUUUGACAUCCUGCGAAUCUCUUGGAAACGAGAGAGUGCCUUCGGGAACGCAGAGACAGGUGGUGCAUGGCUGUCGUCAGCUCGUGUCGUGAGAUGUUGGGUUAAGUCCCGCAACGAGCGCAACCCACGUCUUUAGUUGCCAGCAUUUAGUUGGGCACUCUAGAGAGACCGCCGGUGAUAAACCGGAGGAAGGUGUGGAUGACGUCAAGUCAUCAUGCCCCUUACAUCCUGGGCUACACACGUACUACAAUGCUACGGACAAAGGGCAGCAAGUUCGCGAGGACAAGCAAAUCCCAUAAACCGUGGCUCAGUUCAGAUCGUAGGCUGCAACUCGCCUACGUGAAGGAGGAAUCGCUAGUAAUCGCAGGUCAGCAUACUGCGGUGAAUACGUUCCCGGGCCUUGUACACACCGCCCGUCACACCAUGGAAGUUGGCCACGCCCGAAGCCGUUACUCCAACCCUUGUGGAGGAGGACGUCGAAGGUGGGGCUGAUGACUGGGGU
rnacentral:rRNA from 1 species